UACGAAGGGGGCUAGCGUUGCUCGGAAUCACUGGGCGUAAAGCGCACGUAGGCGGAUUUCUAAGUCAGGGGUGAAAUCCUGGAGCUCAACUCCAGAACUGCCUUUGAUACUGGGAAUCUCGAGUCCGGGAGAGGUGAGUGGAACUGCGAGUGUAGAGGUGAAAUUCGUAGAUAUUCGCAAGAACACCAGUGGCGAAGGCGGCUCACUGGCCCGGUACUGACGCUGAGGCGCGAAAGCGUGGGGAGCGAACAGG
rnacentral:rRNA from 1 species